rnacentral:rRNA from 1 species
GUGGGGAAUAUUGGACAAUGGGCGAAAGCCUGAUCCAGCCAUGCCGCGUGUGUGAAGAAGGUCUUCGGAUUGUAAAGCACUUUAAGUUGGGAGGAAGGGUAGUAACCUAAUACGUUGCUACUUUGACGUUACCGACAGAAUAAGCACCGGCUAACUUCGUGCCAGCAGCCGCGGUAAUACGAAGGGUGCAAGCGUUAAUCGGAAUUACUGGGCGUAAAGCGCGCGUAGGUGGUUCAGUAAGUUGGAAGUGAAAUCCCCGGGGUCAACCUGGGAACUGCUUUCAAAACUGCUGAGCUAGAGUACGGUAGAGGGUGGUGGAAUUUCCUGUGUAGCGGUGAAAUGCGUAGAUAUAGGAAGGAACACCAGUGGCGAAGGCGACCACCUGGACUGAUACUGACACUGAGGUGCGAAAGCGUGGGGAGCAAACAGGAUUAGAAACCCUAGUAGUCC